AUGGUUUUACUCUUUCUGAUUGACUGGAAAAGGGAUCAUUCCCCAAGCAGCCUUGGAAGCUUCCUGUUAAAUAUGGCAGAACAACAUUUGGAAGACAAUUGGUUUCCUAUGGAUCAUCAAUUAGAAAAGAGUUACUGGCUAAGAAUGCUCUGUUUGGAUUUCCCAUAAACAAGAAAUAAGUGUCCAUUGUGGUUGAACCAUUAUAUAUUUUGGAGUGUAUUACAACAUCUUAACUAACACAGCUUUAACUAAUACCUUCACUAAUGCCUGAAUUUCUUGUAAACUUUGAUGUGGAAAUCACCCAUGUUUUUCUGACACUUUGAAUCAAAGCCAACUGGGACCACUGGUUGUAAUACCAUACAGCCACACCAUGAUGGUGCAAAUGAAGAUUUUGACCAAAUAAGAAGAUCCUGAGAGCAUAUAAGGACAAUGAGACAAUUAAUUACAUGGGCAUGUCUUUGAGUCCCUGGGAGCUGAAUAAACAGAAGGAAGCAGCAAUAAUUGGAGAGAGCAGAAAGAAAUGAAUUCCAGUGCUGAAGUCAACAAACCAAAUACUUUAGCGUGGAGCCCAAAUCCAGACAUGCAAUAAUGAGAACAGCAGCAAUUUCCUUUGGCCGCCCUGGUUCACACAGUGUAAACCCAAUAAGCAAGAAGAAGCAGAACUUCAAGACCCACAGCGGAAGUGCAAACAAUGCAGCUUUGAAAGUUGGGAAGUUUGUGAGUUGAAAUGUCUGGCCAGCAGCUCCUCAGAACCACCACCAAUCUCAAGGAUGGGUGGCAGCUGGAUAGAUCCAUGUGGGACAGCUCUCUGGAGUCUUGUUAAAGCCAACAUGAUGGAGAUUUGGGCCUACUUUUUCUUCUAUUAGGCGCAGGGUCUCUCUUCUAUCACUUAAGUUCUUCAAAGCAAAGGAAACAAUCAAGAACAUGAAGAGAGAGCCUACAGAAUGGGAGAAAAUCUUUACCACCUGCACUUCAGACAGAGCAUUAGUAUCCAGGAAAUACCAAGAACUCAAAAAA